GGUUUCUCUUUCCUUCUUUAAAGAACACGCUCUGUACUCUCUCCCUCUCUUCUUCCUUGGUCGAAGACUUCAAUGGAGAAAGGGCAAGUUUGAAGCGACCUGCAUAGGAAAAGAAAGAAAAAAAGACACUAUUUCAUAGUUUAAAGCUUUGGGGAGUCUUCCUUGGUGAUUGGAAAAGCUAAUAGUUUAAAGCUUUGGGGAGUCUUCCCUGGUGAUUGGAAAAGCUAGCCUAGUGAAAAGCAAGAGGUGUGAAUCCCAGAAAUUCGAACCCUGUGAGACGGACUACACGUGGAUAGCUAAGUUCAUAGUCUUCGUGUAAAACAAGUUAUAGAAA